rnacentral:rRNA from 1 species
GGGGGGGGCAAGCGUUUGUUCGGAAUUACUGGGCGUAAAGGGCGCGCAGGCGGGCGGGAAAGUCUCUCGUGAAAUCCCACGGCUCAACCGUGGAAUUGCGGGAGAUACUACUCGUCUUGAGUUCGGGAGAGGAGUGUGGAAUUCCCAGUGUAGCGGUGAAAUGCGUAGAUAUUGGGAGGAACACCGGUGGCGAAGGCGGCACUCUGGACCGAUACUGACGCUGAGGCGCGAAAGCUAGGGGAGCAAACGGGAUUAGAUACCCCGGGUAGUCCUAGCUGUAAACGCUGAGCACUUGGUGUAGCGGGUUAUCGACCCCCCCGUGCUGUGCCGAAGCUAACGCAUUAAGUGCUCCGCCUGGGGGAGUACGGUCGCAAGGCUG